AUGUAUAGCUAAGCUAAAUGUAUUUUUUUUAAAAACAUAUUGAUUAUUCGUAUAAAAUUCUGGUAGAGUUAUGAUAAUGACAUUAUCUAUCUAUAAGUCUUGACCAACAUGCGUGCCAGCAGUCGCGGUAAGACGCUAAAGACUAGUGUUAUUCAUUUUUAUAGGUUUAAGGGUACCUAGACGGUAAAUUAAGCCUUAAUGGGACUAAUUUAACUAGAGUUAGAUGUAAGGGUGCAUUAACGUACUAUUGAGUGUAGAGAUGAAAUUCUGUCAUACCAAUGAUUGGCACGGGUUUAGGCGAAAACAUCACCUUAUGUAAUAACUGACGUUGAGGGACGAAGGCUUUGUAUCGCUAAAAGGAUUAGAUACCCUCGUAUUAAGCAGAAAAUGAUGAAUGUCAUAGGUUAAAUAUUAUUUAGUCUAUAAAUGAAAGUGUAAGCAUUCCACCUCAAGAGUAAUUUGGCAACAUUGGAAUUGAAAUCAUUAACCGUUUCUGAAACCAGUAGUGAAGUAUGUUGUUUAAUUAAUGUCCCACAAAGAACCUUACCACAAUUUGAAUAUAUUUGAAUAUUUUACAAGUGUUGCACGGCUGUCUACAG
rnacentral:rRNA from 1 species